GACACCCACUUAACUUCGGAGUUAGUGGGACACCUUUCUUUUUGCUUAGUACGCUUUUCUGCUAUUCCUGCCGCAUAACUCUCUCUUCCCCAGGCUUUUCCCAUCUCCAUCCUAUUCUCUCGCAGGCAGGUUUUUCUUCCGCCUCUCUGGGGAUUUUCGCGUUGGUUCUCCCUGCCCCCAGGAGUGAGGCGGGUAACGCCCACGCCUACCUCCGGUGUGUGUUUUUGAAGUCGGAAAAAACUUAAUGGUUUCUGGGCCCUGGGCACCUUUCUGAUUCCCCAAGCAAACUGGCUGGAGGCGAAGGCGUGGUCUUCGGGGAGAGAGCGCCGGCGGCUCUCUGGCCCCGGGGACCACCUGUGUGCAGUUAGUGGGACGAAGGGCCUCGGGGAGUCCAUCGCCAAUGUCGGCAGCCGCAGCCGCUUCGGCCCCAUUCGGAAUGCCACAGCACUUGGUCCAGUGUGUUAUAUAACAUGCAGGCAGGGCUUGGACACCAUCCAUUCAUAACAUAGCGAGUGGUUUACAGCCCAGGUUCUGAAUUCAGACUAAUCUGAGUUGAGAUCUCCAUGCACCACUUAAACUUUCUGUAAGGCCUUAGGCAAGUAACUGAACCAACCCUCCAACAACCUGCGUCUCCUAUCUGUAGGACAAGACUAACAAUGGGACAGCUCUGUAGAAUUAUAUAAGUAUUAAGAAAAUACGUGGGAAACAAUUAGUGCAUUGCCUAGUGCCUGUUAGAAAGUGUGUGGCAAAUGCUGUAUGUAUCAGAUAGUAGCCAAUGUUGGACAAUGUUAUUUAUCAAUAGACAUUAUUGUACUUGUAUUGAUCGUUUACUAGGUGCUGGGGGAAAAGAUUACUUCCCAGAUGCAGUAUUUACAUCUCCUCCGCCCUACUCUUCCAACCCUGCCUGAAAUAAGUGUGGUUCUCCUGUCUGUCAGACUAUGAAGAGUUCUCAAAUAUGUCUUUCCCAGCGAGGGAGAGGAGAGUGAGUAUCCAGGAACUUUAAUGCGAUAGGACAUCAAUAUGAGUGUUUAUAGGGAAAGCCAGUGAUCCUAUUGUUAGACGCGAAAUCAAGACAUAUGAUCUGAUUUUUUGUUUUACUUUUUGUUUUUGAGGUAUAACAUUCAGUAAAGCGCACAAAUCAAAAGUGUCCAGAAUGAUAAUUUUUUACAUAUGCAUACCCAUGUAACUGCCAUCCAUAUCAAGAUGUGGAACCUUUCCAGCUCAUUCAUGCCCCUUCCCAUUCAGUAUCCGACAAGGAUUACCACUAUUUUAACCUCUAUCACCAUAGAUUAGUUUUACCAAUAUUUGAACUUGCUAUGGAUGAAAUACAUAACACGUACAAUUUUAUGUCUGGCUUCUCUUGCCCAACAGUGCGUCUAUGAGAUUCAUCCAUAUUGUUGUGUGUAACAAUGGUCCAUUCUUUUUCACUACUGUGUAUUACUUCAUUAUAUAAAUAUUCAACGAUUUGUGUACUCAUCCUACUGUUGGUGGACAUUUGAGUUGCUUCAUGUUUCUGCCUUUGAUGAAGCUGCUGCAGACAUUCUUACACAUGUCUUUUGGUGGACAUAGCAUUCAUUUAUGUUGGAUAUAUAUAUAUACCUAGGAUUGGAUUCCUGGUUCAUAGAGUGUUCACAUAUUAAACUUUAAAUACACUGCCAGUUUUUAAAUUCGUAUAACAAUUUAGGUUCCAACCAGUGAUAUGAGAUUUCCGGUUGUUUCACAUCUUUGCCAGUAUUGGUAUUUUCAGUCUUUUUAAUUUAAAAAGGGGGGGGAUAUGUAUUUCAUUGUGAUUUAAAAUUGCAUUUUUUGAUGAUCAAGGAUGUUGAGCAAUUUUUCAGAUGCUUAUUGUUCAUUUCAAUACCCUUUUAAUAAAGUGUCUGUUCAAGUCUUUCGCUCAUUUGUAGGGAGUUGUCUGUCCUAAUGACCUAUAAGAGUUCUUUACAUAUUCUGAAUAUGAGCCCUUUGUCCAAUAUAUGUAUAACAAAUAUCUUUUCCCAAUCUGUGUUGACUUUUAAUUAUUCUAAUGUUAUCUUUUGAUGAACAGAAGCACUUAAUUUUAAAGACAUUCAAAAUAUUAAUCUUAUCUCUUAUGACUAGUGUUUUGUAUGUCCUGUUUAAAAUAAUCCUAAGCCCAUAAAAAUAAUAUUCUUUGUUUUCUUCUAAGAACUUCAUUGUUUUAACUUUCACUAUCUGUAAUAAGGCCUUGGGCAAGUAACUCAACCAUCCUUCCAUAAACUUCCAACCACAAUAAAGUUAAUGCAAAUUAUUACAUUGGCCUUUCAACCAUUUCUACUCUUUCAGUGCCUCUUGGAAACCAUUAGUACAGUUAGUCUCAAGGUAGAACACAGGACAGAAAUUCUUAACCUAAAAUUUGACCCAGCAUGGUUUAGUUCCACCUUUUCCUGGGUGAAAUUUUAUUCAACUUCCUGAAUAAAAUUAGGCAAUUCUAUGGUAGGUGAGAGGUGAGAGCUAAGAGCAGAAAAGAAACUCACUAUAUAUGAGUUUCUCAAAUAUAUAUACAUGUAUAUAUAUAUUUUUUUCUUGGGCCCCUUUGUAUUCCUGAUGCAUUAAUGGACUUUUCUAGAAUUGUGUUUCAGGGUUGUUUUUUUUUUUUUUUUUUUAAAUACACUGUGUUCUUUCUGCCUCAUAAAACUGGCAUCCUGGAGCUGGCAGGAGUCUUAGAAAGUGGCCAAGUUCUGCCCGUUGGACACGGAACCAGAUAUUCAAACUCUUCUUCCUAGAUUAUUGGUGCCUUCUUCUUGCCAAAUUCCAGCCCCUGCUGAGCACAUCCAAUCAGAAUGGUUUAAAGACCUUCUUUGCAUUCUGAAUGAUUCACUGGAUUCACUGAUUUAUACCUAGGGAAACCGAGGGACAAAACAGUCU
rnacentral:lncRNA from 1 species